UGCCAUAGUGAUGACAUUAUUUGCUACUCUUGACCCUCAAGGAUGAUGAGUCUUGCAACCACCAAGUAUAAAAUCUGAGGCA
rnacentral:snoRNA from 1 species